GACAGAGGUGCCAAGCGUUAGGCGGAAUCACUGGGCUUAAAGCGUGUGUAGGCGGAUCGUUAAGUACCUUGUGAAAUCCCACGGCUCAACCGUGGAACUGCUCGGUAUACUGGCGGUCUUGAGCCACCUAGGGGCAACUGGAACAAACGGUGGAGCGGUGAAAUGCGUAGAUAUCGUUUGGAACGCCAAUGGUGAAAACAAGUAGCUGGGGAUGUGCCGACGCUGAGACACGAAAGCCAGGGGAGCGAACGGG
rnacentral:rRNA from 1 species